rnacentral:rRNA from 1 species
UACGUAGGGGGCGAGCGUUGUCCGGAUUUAUUGGGCGUAAAGAGCUCGUAGGCGGUUUGGUAAGUCGGAUGUGAAAUCUCCAGGCUCAACCUGGAGGGGUCAUUCGAUACUGCCAUGACUAGAGUUCGGUAGGGGUGUGUGGAAUUCCUGGUGGAGCGGUGAAAUGCGCAGAUAUCAGGAGGAACACCAAUUGCGAAGGCAGCUCGCUGGGACGUUACUGACGCUGAGACGCGAAAGCGUGGGGAGCAAACAGG